AGAGUUUGAUCCUGGCUCAGAGUGAACGCUGGCGGUAGGCCUAACACAUGCAAGUCGAACGGCAGCACAGUAAGAGCUUGCUCUUACGGGUGGCGAGUGGCGGACGGGUGAGGAAUACAUCGGAAUCUACUUUUUCGUGGGGGAUAACGUAGGGAAACUUACGCUAAUACCGCAUACGACCUACGGGUGAAAGCAGGGGAUCUUCGGACCUUGCGCGAUUGAAUGAGCCGAUGUCGGAUUAGCUAGUUGGCGGGGUAAAGGCCCACCAAGGCGACGAUCCGUAGCUGGUCUGAGAGGAUGAUCAGCCACACUGGAACUGAGACACGGUCCAGACUCCUACGGGAGGCAGCAGUGGGGAAUAUUGGACAAUGGGCGCAAGCCUGAUCCAGCCAUACCGCGUGGGUGAAGAAGGCCUUCGGGUUGUAAAGCCCUUUUGUUGGGAAAGAAAUCCAGCUGGUUAAUACCCGGUUGGGAUGACGGUACCCAAAGAAUAAGCACCGGCUAACUUCGUGCCAGCAGCCGCGGUAAUACGAAGGGUGCAAGCGUUACUCGGAAUUACUGGGCGUAAAGCGUGCGUAGGUGGUUGUUUAAGUCUGUUGUGAAAGCCCUGGGCUCAACCUGGGAACUGCAGUGGAAACUGGACGACUAGAGUGUGGUAGAGGGUAGCGGAAUUCCUGGUGUAGCAGUGAAAUGCGUAGAGAUCAGGAGGAACAUCCAUGGCGAAGGCAGCUACCUGGACCAACACUGACACUGAGGCACGAAAGCGUGGGGAGCAAACAGGAUUAGAUAC
rnacentral:rRNA from 1 species